rnacentral:rRNA from 1 species
GGCCUACCAUGGUGGUAACGGGUAACGGGGUGUUAGGGCACGACACCGGAGAGGGAGCCUGAGAAAUGGCUACCACAUCCAAGGAUGGCAGCAGGCGCGCAAAUUACCCAAUCCCGACACGGGGAGGUAGUGACAAUAAAUAACAAUACGGGGUUCUUUCGGAUCUCGUAAUUGGAAUGAGUACAAUUUAAAUCUCUUAACGAGGAACAAUUGGAGGGCAAGUCUGGUGCCAGCAGCCGCGGUAAUUCCAGCUCCAAUAGCGUAUAUUAAAGUUGUUGCAGUUAAAAAGCUCGUAGUUGAAUUUCGGGAUUAAUUUACUGGUCGUGCUUUUGUACGCACUGGUUUUAUUGAUUCCUACCUUCUGACGAACCAUGAUGUCAUUAAUUUGGUGUCUUGGGGAAUCAGGACUGUUACUUUGAAAAAAUUAGAGUGUUUAAAGCAGGCCAACGCUUGAAUACAUUAGCAUGGAAUAAUGAAAUAGGACAUCCGAUUCUAUUUUGUUGGUUUCUAGGAUCGAUGUAAUGAUUAAUAGGGAUAGUUGGGGGCAUUAGUAUUCAAUUGUCAGAGGUGAAAUUCUUGGAUUUAUUGAAGACUAACUACUGCGAAAGCAUUUGCCAAGGAUGUUUUCAUUAAUCAAGAACGAAAGUUAGGGGAUCGAAGACGAUCAGAUACCGUCGUAGUCUUAACCAUAAACUAUGCCGACUAGGGAUCGGAUGAUGCUUAUUUUUUAAUGACUCAUUCGGCACCUUACG